rnacentral:rRNA from 1 species
CCUACGGGAGGCAGCAGUGAGGAAUAUUGGUCAAUGGACGCAAGUCUGAACCAGCCAUGCCGCGUGCAGGAAGACGGUCCUAUGGAUUGUAAACUGCUUUUGUACGGGAAGAAACACUCCUACGUGUAGGAGCCUGACGGUACCGUAAGAAUAAGGAUCGGCUAACUCCGUGCCAGCAGCCGCGGUAAUACGGAGGAUCCAAGCGUUAUCCGGAAUCAUUGGGUUUAAAGGGUCCGUAGGCGGUUUAAUAAGUCAGUGGUGAAAUCUGGUCGCUCAACGAUCAAACUGCCAUUGAUACUGUUAGACUUGAAUUACUGUGAAGUAACUAGAAUAUGUAGUGUAGCGGUGAAAUGCUUAGAUAUUACAUGGAAUACCAAUUGCGAAGGCAGGUUACUAACAGUUGAUUGACGCUGAUGGACGAAAGCGUGGGGAGCGAACAGGAUUAGAUACCCUGGUAGUCCACGCCGUAAACGAUGGAUACUAGUUGUUUGGAGUAAUCUGAGUGACUAAGCGAAAGUGAUAAGUAUCCCACCUGGGGAGUACGAACGCAAGUUUGAAACUCAAAGGAAUUGACGG